UUAGUUCGAUGCAUCGCUAACCAACCUUACCUGGUCUUGACAUACAGAGAACUUUCCAGAGAUGGAUUGGUGCCUUCGGGAACUCUGAUACAGGUGCUGCAUGGCUGUCGUCAGCUCGUGUCGUGAGAUGUUGGGUUAAGUCCCGCAACGAGCGCAACCCUUUUCCUUAUUUGCCAGCACUUCGGGUGGGAACUUUAAGGAUACUGCCAGUGACAAACUGGAGGAAGGCGGGGACGACGUCAAGUCAUCAUGGCCCUUACGACCAGGGCUACACACGUGCUACAAUGGUCGGUACAAAGGGUUGCUACCUCGCGAGAGGAUGCUAAUCUCAAAAAGCCGAUCGUAGUCCGGAUUGGAGUCUGCAACUCGACUCCAUGAAGUCGGA
rnacentral:rRNA from 1 species